rnacentral:rRNA from 1 species
UACAGAGGGGGCAAGCGUUGUCCGGAAUUACUGGGCGUACAGCGCGCGCAGGCGGACCGCCACGUGCCGUGGGACAAGCCACUGCUCAACAGUGGAGGGCCAGGGUACACGAGCGGUCUGGAGGCAGGGAGAGGGAUGUGGAAUGCCCGGUGGAGCGGUGAAAUGCGUAGAGAUCGGGCGGAACACCAGCGGCGAAGGCGGCAUCCUGGUCCUGUUCUGACGCUGAGGCGCGAGAGCGUGGGGAGCGAACAGG